GAGGGUAUAGUUCAAGUGGUAGAGUGCAUGCUUAGCAUGCAUGAGGUCCUGGGUUCAAUCCCCAGUACCUCCU
rfam:Camelus ferus unplaced genomic scaffold scaffold463, whole genome shotgun sequence.